GAAUUCUCAAUCACCUUGUCAGGUUUAGCCAAAGUCAAACAUAAACUGAACUUUGGCACUCCGCUGAUUUGGUGAUAGAGUUUUU
rfam:Caenorhabditis remanei strain PB4641 contig0.28, whole genome shotgun sequence.